AUGGAGAGAUCAAAACGCCCCGACUCCGAGGUUGACAUCAACGUUGGCUACAUUUGGAGCUCGAUGGCCCCAAUCAAAGUCAAAAUAUUUGCUUGGCUUCUAUCCAGAGACAGGUUGAACACAAAGGCGAGCCUUCUGCUUGAAACCAUAUCCUCUGACUCUUCAUGCUCGCGACGUGAUCACCACAGUGAGGAUGCGAUUCACCUUUUCUCUAGUGCCCUAAGGCCACACAGGUUUGGCUGCUCCUGGGCUUCGACAUCCCAACCUCCAUCGACCUUGUCUGUGAGAUCAUCACACCGGGCGGCCUCGGCAUCAACAUCUGGCCUACCGUCGCCCUCGCCAUCUUGUGGAAAAUUUGGGAUGCCCGCAAUGUCUGUGUCUUUCGCAAUGAGCACCUUUCAACUACAUAUAUUUUUAGGAACUCGGAUUUUUCACUCUGAAUUUUUGGGUUUAGUAAAGAGGCUGCUAUGUCUUGUCGCCUCUACCUCUCCUCUCGCUCUGUAA
rnacentral:rRNA from 1 species